UACGGAGGGUGCAAGCGUUAAUCGGAAUUACUGGGCGUAAAGCGUGCGCAGGCGGUUUUGCAAGCCGGAUGUGAAAUCCCCGGGCUCAACCUGGGAAUGGCAUUCGGGACUGCAAGGCUGGAGUGCGGCAGAGGAGACUGGAAUUCCUGGUGUAGCAGUGAAAUGCGUAGAUAUCAGGAGGAAUACCGAUGGCGAAGGCAGGUCUCUGGGCUGACACUGACGCUCAUGCACGAAAGCGUGGGGAGCAAACAGG
rnacentral:rRNA from 1 species